GACGAACGCUGGCGGCGUGCUUAACACAUGCAAGUCGAACGGAAAGGCCCUGCUUUUGUGGGGUGCUCGAGUGGCGAACGGGUGAGUAACACGUGAGUAACCUGCCCUUGACUUUGGGAUAACUUCAGGAAACUGGGGCUAAUACCGGAUAGGAGCUCCUGCUGCAUGGUGGGGGUUGGAAAGUUUCGGCGGUUGGGGAUGGACGCGCGGGUUAUCAGCUUGUUGGUGGGGUAGUGGCUUACCAAGGCUUUGACGGGUAGCCGGCCUGAGAGGGUGACCGGCCACAUUGGGACUGAGAUACGGCCCAGACUCCUACGGGAGGCAGCAGUGGGGAAUAUUGCACAAUGGGCGGAAGCCUGAUGCAGCAACGCCGCGUGCGGGAUGACGGCCUUCGGGUUGUAAACCGCUUUCGCCUGUGACGAAGCGUGAGUGACGGUAAUGGGUAAAGAAGCACCGGCUAACUACGUG
rnacentral:rRNA from 1 species